rnacentral:ribozyme from 1 species
AACAGAUGGGAGCGGGGCGGAUCAGGAUGAAAUGAUUCGCUUCGCUUUAAUGUUACCCGAGCGAGUGCUCGGAGUGUCCAAAGUCACU